AUCAAAGCCAGAUGAGACUCAACCACAGGUUUUUACUGUCCAAGGGUUUUCGCUCGUUGAUUAUUCAGAAAGUGAUGAAACUGAUGAGGACUUUAUGGAGAACCAAAGUCCCACUCCACACCGUGAUGUUCUCAGGAAGAUAACAGAAAACACUCUGAUGGAUAGUGGACCAGAGGUUUCUAAUCAUUCGUACGGUUCAGAAAGUGUUGUGAACGAAACCAGCGAUGAGGCUUCUCCAAGCAACCAUUCCAACGAGCAAUCAGAUAAU